rnacentral:misc_RNA from 1 species
AAGUCGUAACAAGGUUUCCGUAGGUGAACCUGCGGAAGGAUCAUUAACAAUUUUACUUGGUUUGAGGCUUGCCUCUUAUCAUUUUAUACACCUGUGAACCGUCUUGUAGGUUUCGGCUGGAUCGCAAGUGAAGGCCGAUUCCAACCAUUACUUUUGCUCGCAGAGGUAGUGGCGUCUAACCCUCACCUUAACAAGUGAUUGUAGUCUUAAUGUUUGGCUUUGAUAUGGGAAUUAAAUACAACUUAUAACAAUGGAUCUCUUGGCUCUU